GUACAAGGCCUUGCUGAAAAGAACAUCUGUUGAGUCUUCCUGAAGAUAUUCUUAUUAAAUAGCUUUUAACAAUUGUUGAAAAGGAGAACAGGGAAAUGAAAUAAAUGACAAUGUGUGUAUCAGGAGAAGUCCAUCACAGAAACUGAAAACACACUUUCAAGUUCGUAUCUCCUUCUCAAUGUCAAUGUCUGCAAGCAACAACCACGAGUAGCUACUUGAUGUCAAAGCACUGCACUAUGGAGAAAGAGCAAGGGGCGUCAGGCCAAGAAUAAUUGCUGUUGAUAUAGUAUGUGAGCAAGCAUUAUUAGAACGGAAGAGAAUGAAAGCCCUCCUGCUAUGAAAUGCAUGUUAAUUAAGUAUGCAGUCCUUGACAACUACAGCAGUAAGAACAGUUUAUGAACAGUGAGUACAGUAGCCAACUGCCAGGGCAAAGAGCAUCUAGUGAUGGGUACCUCACUCUUUUUCCAUAAUCAACAAGUUGUUGAAACUAAAAAACAAAAUCAAAUUAUAGACAGUGUUCUCUUUUGCUCAUUCUUAUUUUCCCCACUUUAUUGAGGCAUAAUUGACAAGUAAGAAUUAUAUCUAUUCAAGGCAUAUUAUAUUCAUUGCAAAUAUGUAUACACACAUCUAUUCAAGGCGUACAAUGCUUAUAUAUAUUGUAUAUGUUGUCAAAUAAUUUCCAUGAUCAAGCUAAUUAACAUUCCUAUUGCCUCACAUAGUUGCUUCAUUUUGUGAGGGGUGUGUGGGGGUGUGUGUGUGCACACUGAGAAUACUUAGGAUCUACUUGCUUAGAGAAUGUCAAGUAUGCAAUACGUUUUUAUUAACUGCAGUGAACAUGCUGUACAUCAGGUUUCUGGAACUUUCUUAUCUUAUAACUGCAAGUUUCUACCCUUUGACCAACAUCUCACCCAGCCAACUCUUGGUAACCACCCCUCUACUCUUUGUUUUUAUGAAACAGACUUUUUUAGAUUUAACAUAUACUUGGUAUAACAUCCUCCAGGUUCAUCUCUCUUGUUCCAAAUGGCUGCAUUGCCUUCUUUUUCAAAACUGAAUACUAUCUCAUUGCAAACAUGUAUACACACACAAACACAUACACACACACACACACACACACACACAUAUAUAUAAUAAUUUCUUUAUUAAUCCAUCAGUAGGCAUUUAGGUUAUUUUCCAUAUCUUGGCUAUCACAAAUAGUACUGCAAUAAAAAUGGGAGUGCAGAUAGCUCUUCAAGAUAGUGAUUUUACUGCCUUUAGAUGUACACCCAGAAGUAAAAUUGCUGAAUCAGGAAUUACUCUUGCAAAUGUUUCUUUUAAAAUGGUAUGAACAUAGCUUUUGAGCCAUAAAGG
rnacentral:lncRNA from 1 species